AUGGAGAAAUUCCGGGUGCUUCGUUACACUGGAUCCUUCGCGAAAAAAUACAUUAAUUCUGUUUGCCUAUGAUACUUUCUCCCUGGGACACACGGUAUGCAUCAAGCAUACUUCAUAUAUUACUAUGACAUGAACAUAUACCAUGAAUAUUCUUCUAAUAUGCAAAUGACGUAAUACUAUAAAGUAAUAUUAAACAAAGAAACAGAAUCGUUCAAUUACAUGAGGGAUUUCCGUCAAAAGUUUGGAGUUUGGGGAAAUUGAAAAAUGUGACGCAACCGUUGAUAGCGAUGUUUGAGUAUGAGUGUGUCCAACUACAGAAUUGAAUUCAGAGUGUGAUCAACGUUCCUCGCCCGGGACAGCUAAAUCGUAACUCCAAAGGACAUAUUGCUGUGGUGUAAGGGCUGAUUUAUCAAAAUAGGCGAAUUAAGCUCGAAAAAAUUACUUCAAAAAAUAAUGUGUAUAGCAUUGGUUCAGCUCAUAAUAUUGUUGUGGUCGUGGACUAUUUCGAAAUUUCGUAAAGUAUGCUCUUACUUACUACUUCAGCUUCUCUGGACACAAUAGAGUGACGUGCUAAAAGCCGGGUUCAAACGGUCAGGUAAAGAAUGGUGUCGCCGUCGCUGACGUCCGCAUUAAAAAUAAUGUUUGCCGUUUUUUGAGGGAAAUAAAUGGUGUUAUGGUUGAUGAUUAUCUAAGGGGAGUUCAAUUAAUACCCCUGUUGAAACAUGGACCUGAAUCUUUUUAGUAUGGUGAGUGUGACGUUCGUCGCCAACAAAAAUAUUGGUUUAGCGCCAAAUGAUUAUGAGCUUUUUGGAGCUUCAAAAAAGGGAUUCGGGUUUCUUGCAUUUUCCGCAUGACGACGGCAAACCAAAAGUACAGACAAUACUAAUAAACGGUUUAUAUACAGGGUGAACAUUUUGCCUGGAGACACUGGAUAUAUCGAAACAAGAUGUUUUUUGCAAAGAAUAAUUUUUUGCUACCAAUUUACGUAGGUACUUACCUUAUAUUUGUGGCUAGUGGCGUACCUCUGCAUGGUGAAGGAGGGCAUAUUUUUUUAAUGGCAACUACUAAUUUUCGUUACAUAUUCUUAAAGAAUACACUUAGGUAUAUUAAAUAAUCAAAUUUAAAAUAAAAACUCAAAUUAAGAAAAAUAGUUCUGAUUUAUUUCACUAGUUGAAAAAAAACGUUCUUAUUUUGUUAGUUACCUAUGCCAAAACAAUUUAUUGUAUCAUAAAUCAUUAAACAUUUAUAAAUAAAACCUAAUUGCUUAAAAAUUAUUUACAGUGACAUGCGUCUACAAAACUAAGAGGUCCCUGUUUUAAUGAAAAGCAUAAUUUUUCGUGAGGUACUAUUAAAGAAUGAAUCUUUUUUAUAUGACAACAUAAAAAACAUGCUCAAAUUAGUAAAUUUAUAAAAUUAAUUAACACAAUUAUCUUCCUUAUUAUUUGAGUUUUUCUCUUAAAUGUGAUUAUAUUUAUUAAUAUAAAACAAAAAAAUCUCUUUAAUUAUAUGCAAUAAUGUGUAAUGAAAGCUAGUAAUUUCCAUUAAAAAAAAUAUUCUCCCCUAGCUAGACCAUGCAGAAGUACUACACACCACUGAUCACAAGGUACGUAGAUUCAUAGUAAUUUUUUAUGAUUUUGGAUGCCAUGAAAAGCUUCUGUUAGAAAAAUGUUGUUUUGAAGAUAUAUCCAGUGUUUCAGACAAAAUGUUCGCCCUGUAUACCUAGUUCUACGAAAGUUGUAGAAGUCUCAUACUUGAGUCGGUACGUGUAGACAUGCGAACACACAACAGACUUCAUAUCCGACUUGGCUAGACAAGCCAUAUCGGUCAAUUUGUAGGCGCGUAUGUAGCUGGCUUAACGCAAUGUUUGAAUAUUCACAUACCUAUACACUAUGUCGGAGAUGAUAGAGAGUUACUAUAUGGGCAUUCCAGAAACGGUAAGGGAUACAAAUUGGGUUAAACAAGAGAAAAGUUGGACAAUCAAAGGUCUAAGAAGAUAGCGUUUAGAAAUUGCUGAAAAAAAUUUGGUGUUUGUAAUAAUUUUAAAAAAUCGAAUUUUAAGAACUCUUUUUUCUGGCGUUUAAUAUUUGACCUAGAGCAAAACCAAUGACACUUCUCUAUAGCAACUUUUAAUCUGCAUCUGCCAAAUAAAUUUAAUUAAAUACUUGUAGGGACUUCUUAUCAUUUUUAAUCCAUUCAAAAUACACAUUUUUUAACUGGUUUUAGAAAAGUGCCUGACAUCAAAUAAAAUAAUUAAAAGAUUGCUCAGAGAUGAAAAAGUAUACCUACCUAACACUCUCCAAUUAAGUUGGAUGUGUUUUUUGAAGUAAACAGAAAUAAUUAUUUUAUUACACUCUAAAAUUGGAAAUAAGAAAAGUUGUCAUUUGUAAAGUAAAUGGUCGUUAAAAAAGGCUCUAUAUAUAGUAAAAUGUCACUUAUUUCACUGAAGCGUAAAUUGUGUGCGCAAUGACACCGUAGGUACUUUGUAUCCCUAGAAGGAUAGUAAUCAAUUAAAAAAAGUGGAAUAUAUGGGCGACAUAUAACACGCAGUUUGUCUCUACGCCCAUUGAUCCCAUUGUGAGUGAAUCAAUUUCCACUGUUUGAAUACUACACAAUAGCAUUUAGACAAUCUAUAUUUAUCAAAUCUUUUUUUCAGACCAUCCUAUCGUAUUGAGUGCCAAACAGGUAGACAGCGGGCGUUUGCAGUUGAAUGCUAAUGAUUUUUUUUAAAAAUUGGAAUAAGAGGACCGCUACUUCGUACUGCAAUUUGUUAAUCUUGAAAACAAAAUCCCGUUGUUGUUUCAACCACUGUGUCUGAGGAUGUUUGUAAACAAAUUACUUUAAGAGAUGUACCGAGCCAACAAGAAUGCGAAUUGGGCUCAUUUAUCAGAAAAAUAUAAUACAGUGAGUACUUAUAAUUUCUCCACAACUAAUUUUUGUGUCUAGAAUAAUGUGGCAACUGGCAAUCAUGGGGAGGAUUAGCAAGACCAUCCAUUACACCAAAUACGCGGAUGGGAAGAAAACCUUAAAAGCGCUGCACUGUACAUAUUGGGUAGUAUAAUUUUGCGAAUUUUUUUAGGUUGAAUAAAUAAUAAUUCAGA